CCAGCUUUGAACUUGAGAUUCUCCUGCCUCAGCCUCCUCCCAAGCCGCUGGGAUUACAGGAAACAAAUGGAUACAGAGCCAAAAACUGAGGAGUAGAUCUCAGGUCUCGCACGCAUUAUGGGCACCAUGAGGAGGUGAAAGGAGAGACCUUCGAGUUUUUCCUCAUACUACUGGAGAACUUUUUGAGACGAAGUCUCGCUGCGUUGCCCAGGCUGGCCCGGAACUCCCAGGCUCCAGCCAUCCUUCCUCCCUUAGCCUCCUGAGUGGAGGGGACCACAGGCGCGCACCACCGAGCCAGCCUGGCUAAUUUACCAGACGGAAACAUUGGAAAGUUUCGUAACUUUUACACUACUGAACCAGAUGAAUUAGGUGGCCAGAGGCGAGAAAGCAACAUCCCGACCGCUAGAGUAAAGCGCGCACCAGGGUGGACGAGAAACGGCGACCACGGGCCGCUGAGGGAUGGGAUCUGCGGGCGGCUGCUUGUGCUGCUACCUCAGCGCCUGGCUCAAGUCGCUCGUCCCCAGGGGGUCAAAGACUCUCGGGAGUUAUUCCCCGUGUCCGGGCUCCAGGACUGUCCCACGCUGUGUCUCUGCUCCACUCCUCCCUGGCCCUCUUGCAGAACUUGAUCUGGCCGAUAUGGGGCGGGCUUGCCUCUGCGUCCUGAAUCGCAGGCUGCCAGACCCCUUGACGUCCAUUUAAAUACCAGUGCUAGGAGAGGGCGAGGGGUCUGGUGGACCCAUGUGGAGAGUUAAGUUUCUUAUUCCUACGUGUAAGGCUCGGUCCCUUAAAAUCGGUAAUAUUGGUUGCUAGCCUGAAAUAACUCCAUCUCCUCUUUUCGUUAAAAACCGUGUAACUGCCCACUUUUUUCAUUUAUAAAAAAUAAUUGUUUUGGUAUCCUUUCUUCAUCUUUGGAGCAGAGCAAGUGACAGAACCUUGGUUAAAGACCAGGAAUAAGAGCAAGUAUAUGUUGCCAAUAAAGCACAUCCUGGCUCCAAAAGCCAUGGGUUCUUUUGAGGCCCACAGGAAGGCAGGAAGUGAUUGGAAUCAGGGAAGAUACUUGAUUUUUAAAAUUCUUUCCACACCCAGUUAGUUUUUCUCUCCUCCCUCAAAUUACCUUUGAUACCCCAAAUGUCACUUCUUCCAUCUAUAGUGUUGCAUUCUCUUUACUAAUUCUGCAAUUCCUCCAGCCUGAUUUCCUUGAGGUUAUAAAGUGAAUAGUAUUUAUUGCUAGAGUAUGCAGGCAGGCAAUAACAUUAUUUUAAUUAAGCAUCUGCCAAUAACCUUGACUGAUUUGGCCAUGGAAACUCUUAUUUUCUCAAAUUGUUUCUGGAGAUUUCCCUAAUCCCUCUUAUCAAAGAGGGAUUGAUAGGUAGGUCCUUCCCCAUCUCACCCUUACCCCAAAUUAGGAGUACUGGUUUAGAGAGCCACUGUUGUCUAGAGAUGAUAGUCAUAAAUGCUACUCCAGGUCUAGGGGGAAAGACUGUCCUAUAAUAAACCCAUAUUCCCAUGAAGAUUGAUUUACAUUUUGCUACAGUUCAGCUAUCAUGAGGUUUAAAUGUGUCUCUAUUGUCUACCUGGAAACCUAAGAUCUCUUACAGAUUCCUUCUCCAUUUACAGCGCAAGGCAUGCAUAUGCCAUUUUCAUAAUACUGGAUUUUCUUCAAAGCUACUAUUUAGUAAAAGGUUUAAUUGGCUUUGAGGUACACAUUAGCUCACAAAAUACUUUUUGUAAUAAACUGGAGAUUCCAUCUAGGAUGUGGCACAUGCUAGCAGGCAAGCACUCUACUGAGUUACACUCCCAGCCCUUUUUUUUUAUAUUGAGACAAACUCUUGCUAAGUUACCCAGGCUGGCCUGAAACUUUGGAUGCUCCUGCCUCAGCUUCCCCAGUAGCUGCAAUUAUAGGUGUGGGCCCUGAAGUCCAGCUCAAUUCAUUAAUUUUUUUUUAAAUCUAUCUUUUGUUGUUGAAAC